rnacentral:tRNA from 1 species
ACCUGGCUGGCUCAGUUGGUGGAGCGUGCAACUCUUGAUCUCUGUGUUUGUGGGUUCAAACCCCAUGCUGGGUG